rnacentral:rRNA from 1 species
CGGCGGACGGGUGAGUAAUGUAUGGGGAUCUGCCUGAUGGCGGGGGAUAACUACUGGAAACGGUAGCUAAUACCGCAUAAUGUCUACGGACCAAAGCGGGGGACCUCCGGGCCUCGCGCCAUCAGAUGAACCCAUAUGGGAUUAGCUAGUAGGUAAGGUAACGGCUUACCUAGGCGACGAUCCCUAGCUGGUCUGAGAGGGUGAUCGGCCACACUGGGACUGAGACACGGCCCAG